AUCUUUGCGCAGUGGCAAUAUCGUAACCGAUGAGGUUAAUCCGAGGUGCGAUUAUUGCUAAUUGAAAACUUUGCCCAAUACCCCGCUGUAACGACUUGAAAUACAGUCGGUAUCGGCAAUUUUUGGUGGUCUCUGCGGAGG
ensembl:snRNA U4 U4 spliceosomal RNA